rnacentral:tRNA from 1 species
GCGAGAGUGGCGGAACGGUAGACGCCCUAGAUUUAGGAUCUAGUGCCGCAAGGUGUGGGGGUUCGAGUCCCCCCUCUCGCA